GUUCUCAUUUAUAGCCAUCAAAACUCCCCCGUCUCUCUUCUCCAGCCGGUGGUAGCAGCUCCAACGGUCCGUCAUUCUUUAGCCCCAGCAGCCCGUCCAAUGAUGGGUGGUGCUGACCUCUCUGUUGUUGCUAAAAAAGGUCUUUCCAUAUAAGAGGAAUGCAGUGAGGUUGAGGAAGGGGAAGCGGAAUCGAAGGACAUUGAAGGUAUUUAGAAACAUGGGAAGAAGCUAGGAUGCAAUGUCCUGAGUCGUGGAACUUGCAGAUGUAAGGCUUGCUCAGCAAUUCUAUGCAGGGACAUUGAAUGCAAGGACUUGUCCAAGGAGAAAAGUAAAGUCGACAAGGUUUUAUAUUUUCAUUAUUUGAUCUGGAUGCUUCUUCCUAUACUGAAACAAAUAAAUCAAGAUCAGAGUACCGGGAUAGAAAGAAAAAAAAAAGAAAAAAAAGGUAGUCAUCUGCCUGUUCAUAAUUCAUUUUCAUAGGAUCACUAGGAAUACUAAUGACUUACUGCAAUCAUUGCAAAGAUGUAAACUUUUUUUCUUUUGCAUAAUCAUGACUCUUAAUGCAAGAUAGCUUUGCAAUAUUAAUAUAUUAGCAUGUAUUAGUUGUAGCUUCCACAUCACUUGUUGAACUGUGCUUGCUCUUCUAUCUACACGUUAAUGAUUUUGAACUCUAUUUAUGUGUCAUUUACAGAGUUAUAUUUGGGGUGGUAAUUGCUUUACCAGUCGCACUGGUUUACUAUAUUUUACUAGGACUCUGAAGGUGAGGGCAUCAAUGGAGAUAAUGAGCAAUAAUGAGUUAUUACAGUAGCAGCACCUAACACAUUUGGCCAAUGGGAUUUUUUGGACAUUCUCUAACAGAACAUGAAUGAACUUAGAAAGAAACUAGGGAGAGAGGGCUUUAGGAGGAGUUAGGAAAUGGAACAAUGUGUAAUUGUCUAAUUGGAAGAAAUCUUUAUGUCUCUUUGCUUUUCUUCUCAUCUCUAAAGCCUUUGCCUUUUGUUCCUUUGAUCAAAGAAAAUGAAGCUUGUUCUUUGUGGUUCCCCUGCUUAUUAUUUAUUAACCCUUUUCAAGAUUAAAAAAAAAAAUUGUUAUU